rnacentral:rRNA from 1 species
UACGGAGGGGGCUAGCGUUGUUCGGAAUUACUGGGCGUAAAGCGCACGUAGGCGGACUGUUAAGUCGGGGGUGAAAUCCUGGGGCUCAACCUCAGAAUUGCCUCCGAUACUGGCAGUCUCGAGUGCGGGAGAGGUGAGUGGAAUUCCCAGUGUAGAGGUGAAAUUCGUAGAUAUUGGGAAGAACACCAGUGGCGAAGGCGGCUCACUGGCCCGUAACUGACGCUGAGGUGCGAAAGCGUGGGGAGCAAUCAGG